UACGUAGGGGGCAAGCGUUGUCCGGAAUUAUUGGGCGUAAAGGGCGCGUAGGCGGCGGGGUAAGUCUGGUGUGAAAUCUCGGAGCUCAACUCCGAAAUUGCACUGGAUACUGCUCUGCUAGAGGGCUGGAGAGGAGAUCGGAAUUCACGGUGUAGCAGUGAAAUGCGUAGAUAUCGUGAGGAAGACCAGUGGCGAAGGCGGAUCUCUGGACAGCUCCUGACGCUGAGGCGCGAAGGCUAGGGGAGCAAACGGG
rnacentral:rRNA from 1 species